AACUGAUACUACCUGCGGGAACCUGCGGAAGGAUCAUUAAUGAGUGUCAAUGGUGGCUAACCCCGCCGACCUCCAACCCAUUGUUGUUACUACCUGGUUGCCUCGGGGUGAAAGCCUGACGUCUUCGAAUUCUCGGAACGUUCGGCCUAGCCCCGGCGGACACACAUAACUCUGUUUUAACUACAUGUCUGAAUACAAAUCAAUUUAUACAAAACUUUUAACAACGGAUCUCUAGAUCGG
rnacentral:misc_RNA from 1 species